UACGUAGGUGGCAAGCGUUGUCCGGAUUUACCGGGCGUAAAGAGCGCGCAGGCGGUCGGUCAAGUCGCGUGUGAAAGCCCCCGGCUCAACUGGGGAGGGUCACGCGAUACUGAUCGACUCGAAGGCAGGAGAGGGUAGUGGAAUUCCCGGUGUAGUGGUGAAAUGCGUAGAUAUCGGGAGGAACACCAGUGGCGAAGGCGACUACCUGGCCUGUUCUUGACGCUGAGGCGCGAAAGCUAGGGGAGCAAACGGG
rnacentral:rRNA from 1 species